CGCCGUUGUCAGCCCGAGGUGGCCCGCGGGGUGGCGCACGGAAAACCAAAGCGGGAAAAGAAGCGUCGCCACGGCCAUCGCCUGCCAGCUGCUGCUGCGGCGGCAGUCGUUCGACUUUCCAUCAGGAGAGCCCCUCUUCUACCUCGCUCCACUCUAGGGCGGGGGAGGGGGAGCGUUGCCGAUCUCUUUCAGGUGUCGCACGCACGUACACGGUCACUUCGAUACUUGUCCAGCGACCGACGUACACAUAUGCAUGUCGGCUUAUGAUUGAUGGUGAACGGCGUGCCGAUGGACUGUGAGCGCUGCCGACGAAGUAUCGCCCACCCGCUUGCCCCCUCCUUCUGCUGAACCAGCGCGUGAGUGCGCACCGGGCCCCGGCGGCCGACAUGUUUUGGUGUCGUUCUCUUGCGCGUUCUUUG
rnacentral:misc_RNA from 1 species